rnacentral:lncRNA from 1 species
GAUGUCCUGGGCAGAGGGCCUGAGGGCAUCAGGACUUGGAAGCUGAGAGUCUGAGUCAAAGCCAGGACUGAAACAGGGAGGGGCAGGCUGGGCUCGGCUGAGCACCAGGCAGGGAAUCCAUGCUGACCAGGGCAGGGCUGAGAACAGCUGCAGGGCCUGCUGCUUCUCUGCAGCCUGGACUUUCUGGGAGUGCUUCCAACCAGAGGCAGAUGCUGUCCUGGCCGCAGCAGCUGGGGAGCCCCACCCAGCCCAUGCUCUAAGGGGAGCACCUCCCUUGCUGGCACAGUGUGGGUCAGCCUGGACCACAGGCAGGAGUGUGAUGUCCAUGCGGUGACUGAAGGCAAAUGCGUGUUGGUGGGGGGUGGUGAGAGGCAGCAAGGGAAGCAGAUGGAGCCAGGAGAGUGUGUUGUGCUGUGAGCAGCUGAGGGCCUCGGGCAGGAGGGGUCUGGAGCUGAGGGAGGGGCUCACCUGGAUCCGGCUCACAUUCCAAGUAGAGGUCCUCAUCAGGUUUCUUUGGAGGGCCUGGCACCUAAGGGAUAUUUCCUGGCCCUCCCUAGGCCCCACCCCACCCCUGCCAGUUUCUUAACCAGAAGCCUGGAAACUGAGGUGGAAAUGGAGGGGCUGCUCACCACUCUGGACGAUGCACCCUGCUCUGAAAGGAAAAGGAGAGAACCACCUGUCAUGCACGGCAGGGAGCAGAAAGGAAUUCAGCGGGACUGAGGCUGAAAAAGCAGAGUCUCCUUAGGGUGCCUCCGAGGAGGACAUCUCAGAGCCAGCUUUGAAGCCCCAGGAGAAAGCUUUUCUCAUCCCCUGAUGGUUCUCUGCACAGCCCUAUGGUGUCACCUUUCCUGACCUCCCAACUGACUUGGCAGGCCUGGCUCCAAAUGACUUUGGACUGUUCAAAAAAUCAUAGCAGCUGGGCACAGUGGCUCAUGCCUGUAAUUCCCAGCACUUUGGGAGGCUGAGGCGGGCAGAUCACUUGAGGUGAGGAGUUCGAGGCCAGCCUGGCCAACAUGGUGAAAUCUUGUCUCUACUAAAAAUACAAAAAUUCGGCCGGGCGCGGUGGCUCACGCCUGUAAUCCCA